GGGGGCGACAGGCUUCGACAAGGGCUUGUAUAGAUCUUUGGAUGCACGUCGGGCUUGCUUGUUAGCUCGUUAAAAAACCAAGCAAAACACAAAUGCCAAUACAGAAAUGGCUCUUGCUGCCUAGUUAAUUCUAGCCACCAAGUGUUUCGUCACAAGUCAGCUUGAAGCGCGUGAAUGAAGCAUAACUUAUUUUAAGCUAGCUCACUUUGACCGUCUGCGAAAGUGAGCGAAAUGUUAGUCAGGCUAGUUUUUGGCAAGGUCUUGUCGGUUCACUUACUUGCCCGAAGCGAAACUCUAAAAGAGAACUCGACUAAACGUGUAGAUUCCUUCGGUCGCAACCUUUGGAUGCGGGUUCGAUUCCCGCCGCCUCCACCA
rnacentral:tmRNA from 1 species